UACGUAGGGUGCGAGCGUUGUCCGGAAUUAUUGGGCGUAAAGAGCUCGUAGGCGGCUUGUCGCGUCGGAUGUGAAAGCCCGGGGCUUAACCCCGGGUCUGCAUUCGAUACGGGCAGGCUAGAGUUCGGUAGGGGAGAUCGGAAUUCCUGGUGUAGCGGUGAAAUGCGCAGAUAUCAGGAGGAACACCGGUGGCGAAGGCGGAUCUCUGGGCCUUACCUGACGCUGAGGCGCGAAAGCUAGGGGAGCGAACAGG
rnacentral:rRNA from 1 species